rnacentral:misc_RNA from 1 species
UAAUAUUUGGUACUUUCAAGUGAGAUCUAUUGCUGUUUUGUGAGUUUUGGAUUUUGGGUGUUACUGGGUCUGUUCUCAAGUGCUUGGUUGCGGAGCCUGGCUCAUCUGAUUGCUGAAAUCAUUAGCUCACAAUCUGGUCGGCUUUCUCUAAAGAAGCACGCGUGGGAGAUUCUGUUCUGUUUUUUGGAGCUGGAAUGUGGGCUUCCAUUUGCUGAAGAUUUCUGUAGUUUAAGCGCCUUAGUUAGUGACUAGUCGAGUUGGGGGGUUGUGGGUGAAGAAAAUAGCGAGCGGAUGUGGCUGAAAUCGAUAGUCUUUUGUAGCAACACCGGCUUCGGUUGAGGAGUCAGAAGUGGGUUUUUGCUGGUGUUGUUAGUUUUCAAAUGAAGUUCAUGUUGAAUAUCAUUUGACUUCCGCGUCUCGCUGAUGGUUAGACACAAAAAUAUGUCAAUCUGGAUUGGUGUUUGAAGGGGAAGGGAAAAGGUGAAGGCAUGGUAUUGUGUGGGGAGAAGCCAGUGAAGAGAAUAAUUGUUGAGUGGUUUGGUUGGUUUAAUUUGGGGUUUAAUUGUUGUGGUUAAGAGUGGUUCUUUUGGAUCUUUUUGUUGCGGGUCUCAACUUGUUUUUGAAGGCGGUAUUAAAUCUCUGUGAUAAUGAGGCUCUCUUCAGCUGG